CGGAGAAUAAGGGUUCGACUCCGGAGAGGGAGCCUGAGAAAUGGCUACCACAUCCAAGGAUGGCAGCAGGCGCGCUAAUUACCCACUCUCAGUACGAGGAGGUAGUGACGAAAAAUAACAAUGCGGGACUCAUCAGAGGCCUCGCAAUUGGAAUGAGCGCACUUUAAAUCGUUCGACGAGGAUCUAUUGGAGGGCAAGUCUGGUGCCAGCAGCCGCGGUAAUUCCAGCUCCAAUAGCGUAUAUUAAAGUUGUUGCAGUUAAAAAGCUCGUAGUUGGAUCUGGGGUUCGGUCGGCGGUUUGCCGCUUCGGCGGCUACUGCCGUGCUCGACUCUUACUAGCCGGUGCGUCUUGCGGUGCUCUUCAUCGAGUGCCGUAGGAGCCUGGCAUGUUUACUUUGAAAAAAUUAGAGUGCUCAAAGCAGGCGAUUCCGCCUGAAUAGUGUUGCAUGGAAUAAUGGAAUAGGACCUCGGUUCUAUUUUGUUGGUUUUCGGAACUUGAGGUAAUGAUUAAGAGGGACGGUCGGGGGCAUUCGUAUUUCGGUGUUAGAGGUGAAAUUCUUGGAUCGCUGAAAGACGGACAAAUGCGAAAGCAUCUGCCAAGAACGUCUCCAUUAAUCAAGAACGAAAGUCAGAGGUUCGAAGACGAUCAGACACCGUCCUAGUUCUGACCAUAAACGAUGCCAACUAGCGAUCCGCAGUGGUUGCUAUAAACGGACUCUGCGAGCAGCUUCCGGGAAACCAAAGUGUUUGGGUUCCGGGGGAAGUAUGGUUGCAAAGCUGAAACUUAAAGGAAUUGACGGAAGGGCACCACCAGGAGUGGAGCCUGCGGCUUAAUUUGACCCAACACGGGGAAACUCACCCGGUCCGGACACUGUAAGGAUUGACAGAUCGAGAGCUCUUUCUUGAUUCGGUGGAUGGUGGUGCAUGGCCGUUCUUAGUUGGUGGAGUGAUUUGUCUGGUUAAUUCCGAUAACGAACGAGGCUCUAGCCUGCUAACUAGUUGCGCCGUGUUCAUACGCGGCUGUAGACUUCUUAGAGGGACAGGUGGCGUUUAGCCACACGAAAUUGAGCAAUAACAGGUCUGUGAUGCCCUUAGAUGUCCGGGGCCGCACGCGCGCUACACUGAAGGAGUCAGCGUGUGCUAUCCGGGCUCGGAAGAGUUCGGUAACCCGUUGAAACUCCUUCGUGCUUGGGAUUGUGGCUUGUAAUUAUCGCGCAUGAACGAGGAAUUCCCAGUAAGUGCAAGUCAUCAGCUUGCGCUGACUACGUCCCUGCCCUUUGUACACACCGCCCGUCGCUACUACCGAUUGAAUGGUUUAGCAAGGUACUCGGAUUGGUCUCGAUCUUGUACGAAAGUGCGGGAUCUGUGGCCGAGAAGAAGGCCAAACUUGAUCAUUUAGAGGAAGUAAAAGUCGUAACAAGGUU
rnacentral:rRNA from 1 species